ACUUACGCUAAUACCGCAUACGACCUACGGGUGAAAGCAGGGGACCUUCGGGCCUUGCGCGAUUGAAUGAGCCGAUGUCGGAUUAGCUUAGUUGGCGGGGUAAAGGCCCACCAAGGCGACGAUCCGUAGCUGGUCUGAGAGGAUGAUCAGCCACACUGGAACUGAGACACGGUCCAGACUCCUACGGGAGGCAGCAGUGGGGAAUAUUGGACAAUGGGCGCAAGCCUGAUCCAGCCAUACCGCGUGGGUGAAGAAGGCCUUCGGGUUGUAAAGCCCUUUUGUUGGGAAAGAAAUCCAGCCGGCUAAUACCUGGUUGGUAUGACGGUACCCAAAGAAUAAGCACCGGCUAACUUCGUGCCAGCAGCCGCGGUAAUACGAAAGGGUGCAAGCGUUACUCGGAAUUACUGGGCGUAAAGCGUGCGUAGGUGGUUGUUUAAGUCUGUUGUGAAAGCCCUGGGCUCAACCUGGGAACUGCAGUGGAAACUGGACAACUAGAGUGUGGUAGAGGGUAGCGGAAUUCCCGUGUGUAGCAGUGAAAUGCGUAGAGAUCGGGAGGAACAUCCAUGGCGAAGGCA
rnacentral:rRNA from 1 species